CUGUAUUUUCCUAUUGUUCUCUUUUUCCUUCUCACCUGUGUCCUCUGACCACACUGCUAACCUUCCCCUAUCCUUCUUCCCAUCUAUCCCUCCCUCCCCAACCCCUUCUAACUCCCCAUCCCAAAGGGCAAAGUUGUUAUAUUGAAGAGUUUAUUCACUAUAUGUUGGGUUGGCCCUCGAUCUUGAUUUAAUUCACACAGCUAAAGAUCUCUCCAGAACCCAUCUGUUUCUUUCCAUCUUCACUACCCAAGGCCUAGCUACUUCUACAAGAUGACAGCAGCCCCCAGCAGCCUGUCCUGCCUCGUUCUCACUGUCCAUGUUGGGCCAGGCAGAUAUUCUCCGCAUCAGUGGCUCCUCGGUGCCACUAGGACAAACCCAAAGUCGUCCGGUGUACAACAGUCUUCAGCAUCUGGCCUCUGUUUACCGCCACAUCUAAGCCUGCGUCAUCCCCUCUCAACUUCUAGGUCUUAAAUGUGCUCUAACUGCACCCUGAAUGCUUGUGGGUAUCUUCCCUUUCCUUCUGCACAGCAUCUGCCCCCCACCAUGGUGGGGCUUGAGCCCAGGGGCACUCUGCACUGAAUUCUAUUUUCAUUUUGAGAUAGGGUCUUGCUAAUUGCCCAGGCCAGGCUUGAACUUGUGAUGUUCCUGCCUCAGCCUGCUGAGGAGCUGGAAUUACAAUCAUGUACCACUGCUUCCAGGUUAAUGUUCCUUUUAUCUCAGGCCUCAAUGCUCACUCCAAGUGGGACACCCUGUCCUUAAAGCACCCAGGAUAUGGCAGGGAAUCCAACACUAAACAUCUGAGCAGGUAGACAAUGCAGGCCCCACACCCCCUGGGAGCCUAGGGUGCAGAGAUACAGUACCUUCCCCCAUGGGUCCUUGUUUGUCUUCUCUUUAAAAGGAUUUUGCCCCCUUUUUAAUUAGGGGACAUACAAAGUGAGGGACAAGAUAAUCUUUGUUUUGGGGGGU
ensembl:lncRNA